CCUACGGGGGGCAGCAGUGGGGAAUAUUGCACAAUGGGGGAAACCCUGAUGCAGCGACGCCGCGUGAGUGAAGAAGUAUCUCGGUACGUAAAGCUCUAUCAGCAGGGAAGAAAAUGACGGUACCUGACUAAGAAGCCCCGGCUAACUACGUGCCAGCAGCCGCGGUAAUACGUAGGGGGCAAGCGUUAUCCGGAUUUACUGGGUGUAAAGGGAGCGUAGGCGGCAGAACAAGUCUGAAGUGAAAUCCCGGGGCUUAACCCCGGAACUGCUUUUGAAACUGUGCGGCUGGAGUGCAGGAGGGGUAGGCGGAAUUCCUGGUGUAGCGGUGAAAUGCGUAGAUAUUAGGAGGAACACCGGUGGCGAAGGCGGCUUACUGGACUGUAACUGACGUUGAGGCUCGAAAGCGUGGGGAGCAAACAGGAUUAGAUACCCGUGUAGUC
rnacentral:rRNA from 1 species